rnacentral:rRNA from 1 species
CUGAUACUGGCAAGCUUGAGUCUCGUAGAGGGGGGUAGAAUUCCAGGUGUAGCGGUGAAAUGCGUAGAGAUCUGGAGGAAUACCGGUGGCGAAGGCGGCCCCCUGGACGAAGACUGACGCUCAGGUGCGAAAGCGUGGGGAGCAAACAGGAUUAGAUACCCUGGUAGUCCACGCCGUAAACGAUGUCGACUUGGAGGUUGUGCCCUUGAGGCGUGGCUUCCGGAGCUAACGCGUUAAGUCGACCGCCUGGGGAGUACGGCCGCAAGGUUAAAACUCAAAUGAAUUGACGGGGGCCCGCACAAGCGGUGGAGCAUGUGGUUUAAUUCGAUGCAACGCGAAGAACCUUACCUGGUCUUGACAUCCACGGAAGUUUUCAGAGAUGAGAAUGUGCCUUCGGGAACCGUGAGACAGGUGCUGCAUGGCUGUCGUCAGCUCGUGUUGUGAAAUGUUGGGUUAAGUCCCGCAACGAGCGCAACC